UACCAGCACCCCGAGUGGUCGGGACGAUUAUUGGGCCUAAAGCAUCCGUAGCCGGUCCUGCAAGUCUUCCGUUAAAUCCAGCCUGCUGAACAGAUGGGCUGCGGGGGAUACGUACAGUGGCUAGGAGGCGGGAGAGGCAAGCGGUACUUUAUGGGGUAAGGGGUAAAAUUCCGUUGAUCCAUGAGAACGACCACCAAGGUGGGCGAAGGCCGGCUUGCCAGA
rnacentral:rRNA from 1 species